rnacentral:lncRNA from 1 species
CCCGCACGCGCCUGAAGCCGACCCCGCGGCGACAGCGCAUGCGCGGCGUCGUCUCCGGAGCAACGCGGCGUCGCCGCGGAGUGACGUCAUCACGCUGCGACCCGAGGAGCCGGCCGGGCGGCAGCGGGGCGGGGCGGCCCCGGGGCUCCGAGCGCCGCCUCAGCUUCUGCGACCUCCCUUUUCCCCACUUAGAAUCGUGCAGAAGGAUCUGGAGACGUCCUAGAGAGGUUUGGGGGCAUCCAGGGGGUUCUGGACUCAUGCAGAAGAGUCUGGAGAUGUCCAAGGAGGAUCCAGGGAGUUCCCACGCCUGCCUGCAGCCGGACCCGGUGACACCGGAGCCCUCUGGCGCUGUCACCAUCCUCUGUCCCGAGGACGGGAGGUGAACUGUGUGCCACCAGCAGAGGGGACCACGGGUGACAUCAGUGUGGAACAGCCGUGACGCGGCGGCGUUGUCAUUGGGUGUCACCGUCACGCAGAGGGGACAAAAGGACCCCCCUGGGGGCAUUGCGUCGAAGUUGGGGACACCGUGAGCAGCUUGAGGACUUCCCAGGGGAAGUGGGGGCACCGCGUCACCGUGUCACACCCCAAAGUUGGGGACACCUCUGUGUCACCCCAAUGGUGUCCGACCCAAAGCUGGGGACACUCCACAGUGUCACACCCCAAAGUUGGGGACGCCCCGACAGUGUCACAUCUCAAAUUUGGGACAGCUCUGUGUCCCCCCAAUGGUGUCAGACCCCAAAGUUGGGGACGCCCCCACAGUGUCACAGCCCAAAGUUGGGGUCUGUCCCAGAGGUGGGAGUGCCCCCACAUCCCCACCAUGGCGUCACAUCCCAAAGUUGGGGACCCCCAUCUGGGGACCCAUUCUGUGCUCCCCCAAUUGCAGACAGCACUGUUCCCAUGGGGUGGGGGCGGGGGGCACCCUUUAUUUUUGGGAUUAAGGUUUAUUUCAUGAUAACGGGGGGUUGGGGAAUGCCCCCCCAUGUGAAUAAAGGGCGGAGGAGCGGCUGUGGGGCUCCGUGUGUAACACCGGGGGGUGCUUUGGGGACACUGCAGCAUCCCAGCCCCAUAGCCCCCAUGGCCCUAUAACCACUACAGCCCCAUCUCGUAGCCAUCCCAUAUCCAUAUCCCAUCCCAUAUCCCAUCCUGUAUCCAUAACCCUUCCAAUAUCCAAACCACCAUAUCCGUCCCACACCCAUAGCCCAAAUCCAUCCCAUAUCCGUAUCCCAAAUCCAUCCCGUAUCCAUACCCCAUCCCAUAUCCGUAUCCCAUCCCAUAUCUCAUCCCCUAUCCAUAUCCCAUCCCAACUCCAUGCCAAAUCUCUUUCUAUAUCCACAUCACCUUAUCCAUCCCAUAACCAUCCCAAAUCCAUCUCAAAUCCAUAUCUCAUCCCAGACCGAUCCCAUCUCCUUAUCCAUCCCGUAUCAAUGUCCCAUCCCUUAUCCAAUCCCAUACCCCAUCCUACAGCCAUCCCACAUCCAUACCCGCACAUCCCAUAUCCUAUCCCCAUCCUGUACCCCAUGUCCCAUAUCCAUUUCCAUCCCACAGCCUUCCCGAAUCCAUAUCCCCGCAUCCAUCCCGUGUCCACCCCAUAUCCAUUCCGUAUACUUAUCCCAUCCUAUGAUCAUCCCAAUCCCAUCCCAUAUCCAUAUCCCAUCCCAACUCCACCCCAUAUCGUUCCCAUACCUUUGCCAAGUCUGUCCCGUACCCGUAUACCCACUUCCCGCAUCCCAUUCCCAAUCCCAACCCCAAUCCCAAUCCCAAUCCCACACCUCAUUCCCAAUCCCACAUGCGAAUCCCGUAUCCCGCAUCCCAAUCCCUAUCCCGAAUCCCAAUGCCAAUCCCACAUCCCAGCCCCAUGUACUGUGUGUCAAUCUAUCGCAAUCCCAACUCUCAUAUCGCAGUCCUAACCCCAAUCCCACACCCCAAUCCCAAUCCCAAUGCCAUCCCCUAUUGCAAUAGGGCACACUCCGGGCCCCUCCCGCAGCUCCGUCCCGCCCCCAUCUUCUCAUUGGCUGAGGUGCAGCUCCGUCCCGCCCCCGGCCUCUCAUUGGUCAGGUGCAGCUCCGUCCCGGCCCCGGCCUCUCAUUGGCUGAGCCGCAGUUCCAUCCUGCCUCCAGCCUCUCAUUGGUCAGGUUCAGCUCCGUCCCGCCGCCGGCCUCUCAUUGGCUGAGGCGCAGCCCAGUCCCGCCCCCAUCCUCUCAUUGCUCAGCGGCAGCGCCGCCGGCUCCCAUUGGCUGAGGCGCAGCGCGCGGGAGCGGCCGUUGGCAGCCGGCUCGGGCCCGCCCGGCUCUCCCCUCAGCCGGCGUCGCUCCGCAGCCCGGGCCGCCCCGCACGGCACCGCCGACGGAACAGCACCGGGACGGAACCGCGGCACGACGGGAGCGGUGCUGAGCUCUGCGGUACCGGGGGGAGGGGGUGUGGGGUUUGGAGGGGGCGGAGUGAGUGCAGCCCCGGGACAGGAAAGGAACCCUGUGCGGCCAUAAUCCACCUCCCUGUGGGGUUGGGAAAUGGGUGUGGGAUUGGGGUUCGGAUGUGGGAUAUGGAAUUAGGGCUGUGGGAUCGGGAUUAUGGUGUGGGAUUGGAAGGUGGGGUUGGGGUUGGGAUAAGGUCUGGGAUAUGGGAUUAGGGAUAUCGAUUGAGAUUGGGAUGUGGGAUUGGGAUGUGGGGUAUAGGAUUCGGGGUGUGGGAUUGGGAUUUGCAUUGGGAUGGGGGCUGUGAGGUUGGGGUUGAGGUUGGGGUCGGGAUAUAGGAUUAGUGAAUUGGUAUUGGCAUUCCCAUUGGGAUGGGGGCUGUGGGACCGGGAUGGGGGCUGUUGGCCUGGAUGUUGGGUUGGGAUCGAGGUUAGGAUGUGGGAGAUAGGAUGAGGGGUGUGGGAUUGGGAUUUGCAUUGGGAUGUGGAAUGUGGGGCCGGGAUGUGGUCUGUUGGGGUGGGAUGUGGAAUGUGGGGCCGGGUUGGGGGUUGGGAUUGAGGUCGGGAUGUGGGACGUAAAGAAACGUGCCCUGUUCACAGGUGGGGCGUGUGGUGUUGUGGGGAAGCGGCGCAGAUGGAAAGCUGCCGUGUGGAGCCCCACAGGACGAGUUGCAGAGGCCCCUGAAGGAAAAGGAGAAGGAAGGGCAUUUGCAGAGGGACAGGCUGUCCCGCUGGCCUUAGGUGUUGCUGAACGGGAGGGGUGGCCAAUGCUUUCUCUUUCCACUGCCUCACGGAUGGUGGCAAAUGCCUUCUGGGGGUGGUUCCAGCAGUGGGAAGAAAACAGCUGGCAGCGGAGGGGUAAACCUCUUUGGGCUGCUGAGCUGUGUGCUGAACCAUAAGGAAGGUGGCUGUAAAGGUGUGCCGUGCAGAUGUCGUGUGCCCAGCAGUCGGGCCGAUGAAGAGCAACAAAUGAAGCGCCAGCAGCCGCUUAUGAAGUAUCCGUUGCUGGGUCAUGGAGUCUGCCCACUUGCCCAGGGCACGGGAAGACCGAAUUCCCAGGACAAGAGCCAGAACCAAUGUCCCCAGCAACAGUAGCACUUGUGUUACAAAUGGAAUUCCACAAACAAUAUUUAAUACUUUUAUUACAGACGCACUUAACAGUUACAAAGAUAAGAACAACGACACAGUUCCUAUCCGGAAAAGAAUGAAAAUCGGUUCUGGCAUUUGCCCACCCUGUCUGACCAG